GGCAUAACUGGCUUGUGGCAGCCAAGCGUCCAUUGCAA
rnacentral:rRNA from 1 species